AAGUCGUAACAAGGUUUCCGUAGGUGAACCUGCGGAAGGAUCAUUAAAGUAUAAAACACUUUAUAAAAUCUACACACCUGUGCACCCGAGGCGGAUCCCCCUAUCUGUGGGGAACUGCUCCUCUCCUACAUCAUACUCCAUGUCUAGAAUGUACAUUAUUGAAAUAAUAAUAACAACUUUCAACAACGGAUCUCUUGGCUCUC
rnacentral:misc_RNA from 1 species